GUGAAGUCAUUGAUGCCAUGCUUCCAGGAAAAGCCUCUAAGCUUCAGAUUGUAAGGAAUCGUACCCCAAACCGACACAGGUGGUCGGGUAGAGAAUACCAAGGCGCUUGAGAGAACUCGGGUGAAGGAACUAGGCAAAAUGGUACCGUAACUUCGGGAGAAGGUACGCUCUCGACGGUGAAGUCCCUUGCGGAUGGAGCUAUUGAGAGUCGCAGAUACCAGGUGGCUGCAACUGUUUAUUAAAAACACAGCACUGUGCAAAAUCGUAAGAUGACGUAUACGGUGUGACGCCUGCCCGGUGCCGGAAGGUUAAUUGAUGGGGUUAGACUUCGGUCGAAGCUCUUGAUCGAAGCCCCGGUAAACGGCGGCCGUAACUAUAACGGUCCUAAGGUAGCGAAAUUCCUUGUCGGGUAAGUUCCGACCUGCACGAAUGGCGUAAUGAUGGCCACGCUGUCUCCACCCGAGACUCAGUGAAAUUGAAAUCGCUGUGAAGAUGCAGUGUACCCGCGGCUAGACGGAAAGACCCCGUGAACCUUUACUACAGCUUGGCACUGAACAUUGACCCUACAUGUGUAGGAUAGGUGGGAGGCUUUGAAGCAGGUACGCCAGUAUCUGUGGAGCCGUCCUUGAAAUACCACCCUUGUAGUGUUGAUGUUCUAACGUCGACCCCUUAUCGGGGUUGCGGACAGUGCCUGGUGGGUAGUUUGACUGGGGCGGUCUCCUCCCAAAGAGUAACGGAGGAGCACGAAGGUGGGCUAAUCACGGUUGGACAUCGUGAGGUUAGUGCAAUGGCAUAAGCCCGCUUGACUGCGAGAAUGACAAUUCGAGCAGGUGCGAAAGCAGGUCAUAGUGAUCCGGUGGUUCUGAAUGGAAGGGCCAUCGCUCAACGGAUAAAAGGUACUCCGGGGAUAACAGGCUGAUACCGCCCAAGAGUUCAUAUCGACGGCGGUGUUUGGCACCUCGAUGUCGGCUCAUCACAUCCUGGGGCUGAAGUCGGUCCCAAGGGUAUGGCUGUUCGCCAUUUAAAGUGGUACGCGAGCUGGGUUUAGAACGUCGUGAGACAGUUCGGUCCCUAUCUGCCGUGGGCGUUGGAAGAUUGAAGGGGGCUGCUCCUAGUACGAGAGGACCGGAGUGGACGAACCUCUGGUGUUCGGGUUGUGUCGCCAGACGCAUUGCCCGGUAGCUAAGUUCGGAAUCGAUAACCGCUGAAAGCAUCUAAGCGGGAAGCGAGCCCUGAGAUGAGUCUUCCCUGAUACUUUAAGUAUCCUAAAGGGUUGUCGGAGACUACGACGUUGAUAGGUCAGGUGUGUAAGUGCUGUGAGGCAUUGAGCUAACUGAUACUAAUUGCCCGUGAGGCUUAACCAUACAACACCCAAGGGGUUU
rnacentral:rRNA from 1 species